rfam:Spiroplasma diminutum CTAS-1, complete genome.
UGCUAGUUUCAACCGCACUUUGUAUGUAAAAAAGAAGUUUGAAAAAUAGCUCACAUACAAGGCGAGUCUAGACUGGAGG